rnacentral:rRNA from 1 species
CACGUAGGGUGCAAGCGUUGUCCGGAAUCAUUGGGCGUAAAGAGCUCGUAGGCGGCUUAGUAAGUUAGAGGUGAAAGCCCGGAGCUCAACUCCGGAACUGCCUUUAAAACUGCAUCGCUUGAAUCCAGGAGAGGUGAGUGGAAUUCCGAGUGUAGAGGUGAAAUUCGUAGAUAUUCGCAAGAACACCAGUGGCGAAGGCGGCUCACUGGCCCGGUACUGACGCUGAGGUGCGAAAGCGUGGGGAGCAACAGGG